UGCAACACCAUCACACAACUGGGAACAGUGAUGCAUAGGAGACUCAAAGACAAGGGGAUAGUGCUGCUGCUCAGCAUAGAAGACACCAGAGUCUCAGGGAUAACAGCAAAUUGAGGGGAAUGCCUCAGAAGGAAAAGAUCUCCUCACAGGAUGUCCAUAUGGAAGAGUCCUGGGCUUCUCAACAUAAAUGCAACCAAGAGCUUCUGCAGUACUGCAACCACGUUCUACAGAAAGGACCAAAACCUCCAUUCAAAGAAAAGAAUGAAAGGCUUUUGGGAAUAAUUUUUAGCCAGCACCUAGGAUGCUGCUGCUGGGAACUUGUGUUCUGCAGAACCAGGAUGAUUUAAGAAUGCUCAAAACUCCA